UACGUAGGGGGCAAGCGUUGUUCGGAAUUACUGGGCGUAAAGGGCGCGUAGGCGGCACAGCAAGUCGGGCGUGAAAGCCCGGGGCUCAACCUGGGAAUGGCAGUGGAAACUAGGGGACUGGAAUCUGGCAGAGGGGGGUGGAAUGCCGCGUGUAGCAGUGAAAUGCGUAGAGAUGCGGCGGAACACCGAUGGCGAAGGCAGCCCCCUGGGCUGAGAUUGACGCUCAGGCACGAAAGCGUGGGGAGCAAACAGG
rnacentral:rRNA from 1 species